CCACGUAUCCAAUCGACCACCAUUGACAUUCUUCCGAAAACAGGGAGAUCUGUUGGCCAACCCGGCCAGCAUCUACGACCAAUCUACCGAAGCGCAGCUCAGAAUGGCCAAGCAAGUUGCACAGAACUUGCCCAACAUCCCCUCCCAAAUUGAUAUGGAACCUUCAAAAACACAUGGAGCAACUGCGAAAAGAAAUAGCUGAGGAUAUACUAAAAAUGUCUGAGUUCAAAGUCAACUGCUUUUUGUGUGCCACUGAUAAGGAACCUGGAUGUGGCCCGAAGACUGACUGGGAAUGAAGACAAAAGAGUUCAGAGUAAAGAACAAACAGGAAGUGCAGUCUUUGUUGUUGAAAAUGUAUGUUAUACCCCAUCCACACUGAAGAGGCUCUGAAAUGUACAUCAACCAGGGAUAAAGAGAAAGUUAACACUGAAAUGUUUCAUACUUAAUUGAAGUGUCUGUUGACAUGUUGGAAAAGAUUAAAGGUCUACAAUUUCUGUUAAA